UUUUUUUUGCUGAUGGAAAUUCUUGAUCAAUCAACAUUUUUUUCUUGAAUAAAUUUAUCAAAAUUUGGUCAAAUGAUCUAAACUGUUGGGCUUAGGCCCAGUAUAAAGUUUUAAUAGGGUUAUAAUAUUCAGACCCUAAUUGAAUAAAGGAGCUCUUCAGCUAAUCGAAGUUUCCCAAAACACUGGAAUUUGAGAGAUUAGGGUUUUUCUUGCGCCGUUGAAUUGAUCUGUGAAAAUGAUUUACGACGUGAAUUCCCCACUUUUCCGUUCGUUCCUCAGCCAGAAGGGCGGCGCCUCCGACAAGAGGAAAACUGAAGAGCAGAAGCCGAAGGAACAUAGGCCAAAGGCAAAUGAGAACAAACCUGUUAUGAACGAGUAAGCGUGCAUUAUGCAAGCACUAGUUUGGAUGGAGUUUCCUAGUGUCUAGAUGUGCACUUUAUAAGUGCAACUCUCUAAACUUGAAUAUCGAGUUUGUUUCUCUAGACUAUGUGUAACAAGAUAUUGGUUUUUAUUUAGUGAAGCUUUUUUCUGAUAAA